UUGAGGUCCAUUCUAGCCGCUGUACCCC
rnacentral:piRNA from 1 species